UCGAUUAACUAGAUAAUUUUCCAAAAUAGGGCUUUGGUGCAAAUAGCGGUGAGUAGAAACUGUGACACCUAUUCAACCCCCCCUUCUAAGUAUAUUCUGUCACUGAUACCUAACAAACCGGUCGCCCUCGGUGUCCGAAUUGUAGUGUGGAGAAGCAUCCUCAAAGGCGGAUCGGGCCCAAGUCCCCUGGAAGGGGGCACUGGAGAGGGUGAGAGCCUCAUCAUGCCCGAAACCUGAAGCACCACGAGGCAUUGUUGGCGAUUCGAGUUGUUUGGGAAUGCAGCCCCAAUCGGGCGGUAAAUUCCGUCCAAGGCUAAAUACUAGCGAGAGACCGAUAGUGAUCAAGUAUCACGAGGGAAAGAUGAAAAGGACUUUGAAAAAAGAGUCAAAGAGUGCUUCAAAUUGACGGGAGGGAAGCAGAUGGGGGUCGACAAUGUGCGUCGGUCAGAUAUGGAAUGGCGAGAGCCGAUCUGCCAAUCGACUCAGGGCAUGGAGCGACGUGAAUUGUGAUGGUGGCCCAAGCCCGGGUUGUUGACAUGCUCUUGGAGACGUCAUCAUCGCUAUUAUGGUUGGAAGAUCGCGUUGUUUGGUGUGCUUUGGCACCUGUGUGCUCCGGGCGUCGGCCUGUGGGCUCCUCAUUCGGCCCGUCUUAAAACACGGACCAAGGAGUCUGACAUGUGUGUGAGUCAAAUGGCAAGUAAACUCGUAAGGCGCAAGGAAGCUGAAUGGUAGGAUCCCCUUUUGGUAAGGAUAAUUGGCGAUGCGGGAUGAAUCGGAAGCUGGGUUACGGUGCCCAACUGCGCGCUAACCUAGACCCCACAAAGGGUUAUGGUUGAUUAAGACAGCAGGACGGUGGUCAUGGAAGUCAAAAUCUGCUAAGGAGUGUGUAACAACUCAACUGCCGAAUAAACUAGCCCCAAAAAUGGAUAGCACUAAAGUGCACGACUUAUACCCGGCCGUUGGGGCAAGGACUAGGAACCGAUGAGUAGGAGGGCACGCCGGUUGCUGCAAAACCUGGGGCGUGAGCCUGGGUGGAGAGAUCGUCGAUGCAGAUCUUGGUGGUAGUAGCAAAUAUUCAAAUGAGAACUUUGAAGGCCGAAGAGGGGAAAGGUUCUAUGUGAACGACACUUGCAUAUGGGUUAGUCGAUCCUAAGGGACGGGGGAAGCCUAUCUAAUAGCGCUCUAAGUGUGCAGUCCGAAACGGAAUCAGGUUAAAAUUCCUGAAACGGGACGUGGCAGCUGACGACAACGUUAGGGAGUCCGAAGACGUUGGUAGAGGCCGCGGAAAGAGUUAUCUUUUCUAUUUAAUAGACUGCCCACCUUGGAAACGGCUCAGCCGGAGGUAGGGUCCAGUGGCUGGAAGAGCACCGCACGUCGCGUGGUGUCCAGUGCGCCCCCGAUGGCCCUUGAAAAUCCAGAGGACCGAGUGCCCUCCCACACCCGGUCGUAUUCAUAACCGCAUCAGGUCUCCAAGGUGAACAACCUGUGGUCGAUGGAACAAUGUAGGAAAGGGAAGUCGGUAAAAUGGAUCUGUAACCUCGGGAAAAAUAUUGGCACUAAGGGUUGGGCAUGGGGGUCCCAGUCCCGAACCCAUCGGUUGUCGGUGGACUACUCGAGCUGCUCUCACAGCGAGAGCGGGUCGCCACGUGCCGGUCGGGGGACGGAUUAGGAACGGGCCCUUCAGGGCCUCUUCCCCGGGCGUCGAACAGUCGACUCAAAACUAGUACGGACAAGGGGAAUUCGACUAUUUAAUUAAAACAAAGCAUUGCGAUGGUCCCUACGGAUGUUGCCGCAAUGUGAUUUCUUCCUAGUGCUCUGAAUGGGAAAGUGAAGAUAUUCAGCCAAGCGCGGGUAAACGACGGGAGUAACUAUGACUCUCUUAAGGUAGCCAAAUGCCUCGACAUCUAAUUAGUGACGUGCAUAAAUGGAUUAACGAGAUUCCCAUUGUGCCUGUGUACUAUCCAACAAAACCACAGCCAAGGGAACAGGCGUGGCAGAAUCUGCGGGGAAAAAAGACCCUGUUGAGCUUGAAUCUAGUCUGACAUUGUGAAAUGACUUGAGAGGUGUAGGAUGAGUCGGAGCUGGAAACAACAGAAGUGAAAUACCACUACUUUUAACGUUAUUUUACUUAUUCCUUGAAUUGGAGGCGGGGUGUAGCCCCUGUUUUUGGACCCAAGGUCGGCCUUGGUGGUCGAUCUGGGCGGAAGACAUUGUCAAGUGGGGAGUAUGGCUAGUGCAGCACAUCUGUUAAAAGAUAACGCAAGUGUCCUAAGAUGAGCUCGACGAGAACAUAAAUCUCAUGUGGAACAAAAGGGUAAAAGCCGAUUUGAUUCUGAUUUCUAGUACGAAUACGAACUGUGAAAGCAUGGCCUAUCGAUCCUUUAGUCCUUCAGAAUUUGAAGCUAGAGGUGUCAGAAAAGUUACCACAUGGAUAACUGGCUUGUGAUAGCCAAGCGUUCAUAGCAAUGUUUUUUUUAUCCUUCGAUGUCGGCUCUUCCUACCAUUGUGAAGCAGAAUUUACCAAGUGUUGGAUUGUUCACCCAAAAAUAGGGAACAUGAGCUGGGUUUAGACCAUCGUGAGACAGAUUAGUUUUACCCUACUGAUGACAGUGUCACAAUAGUAAUUCAAUCUAGUAAGAGAGGAACCAUUAAUUCGCACAAUUGGUCAUUGCGCUUGGUUGAAAAGCUAGUGGUGCGAAGCUACGGUGCGUUCGAUUAUGUCUGAAUGCCUGUAAGUCAGAAUCCGGGCUAGAAGCGAUGCUUGUGCUCGUCACUCAUUUGUCGACCUGCAGUAGGGGGCCUCGGCCGCAUAGAGUCCCGUGUCAUUGGUGACCCUCGCAGGGUAGACGAACCUCGUGGGAUGCCUUGAAGCGCUAUUCCACACUGGGCAGCAGGUAGAAUCCUUUGCAUAUGAAUUAAAUACGCGACGGGGUGUUUUAAGUGGCAGAGUGGCCUUGCUGCCAUGAUCCACUUAGAUUCAAUCCUUGUCGCUUCGAUUCGU
rnacentral:rRNA from 1 species